AAUUUAAACGCACGAGGUGAACUUUUCUAUCCUACAUACUAAUGUGGAUGAAAAUAUAAACUUAUGUUUUGUUAUUUGUGAAAAUGAUGUUGUCUUGCCAUAAAUGAUUUGUUUUAUGCCUAUCUGUUUGGUUGGAACGUAAGAAUCGAAUUCGGGUUCGAGUGAGGGUGGUGUCCCUACUCGGGCUAGUGUACACAGGUGGCCACCUCCCCGGCUGGAGAAAAAGGUAGGUGACCGUGGGAGAGCACCAUCUCCACGGCACUUGGUGUUCAGAUAUGGCAAAAGAAAGAAAGAACUUAAACUGAUCAGUCGAACUUUAGCUCA